rnacentral:tRNA from 1 species
GCCUGAGUGGCCGAGUGGUUCUAGGCGCUACGGUCUGGAACCGCGCGAUCGCUACGGUCGCAGGUUCGAAUCCUGCCUCGGGCA